CUCUCUCUCUCUCUCUGUCUCUCUCUCUGCUUGGCCUGCUUUGGUGGCUGGGUCACGUGGCUGCGCUGUGCCGCGCCGCUCGGCUCUGUGCGCUGUGCGGGGGCCCCUGGGUCUGGGAGCAGUCGGAGCAUUUCCUAAGUGAACUCUUCCAUGCAGCCCGGCCUCCAGCAGACAUCCUUCUGCAGAUGACAUAUUGCAAAACUCCCCUGCACAUCUGUCAGUGGCUACUAGCUGGUCCAGGGUCAGGGCCCAGGCUGAAGAUCCAGAUCAGAUCAGUCUGGAGGAUCCACUGGCCACAAACGCCGCCACUCGAGAGCAUCCUGGGAGAGGAACAAACUGACCGGUGUAAUGUAAUGCCACUCAGCCUGAUGGACAGGACAAGGUGUUUCCAAGUAACUGCAGCAAGCAGCCCCUGAGGAGGAGGACCACGGGGAGCAGGGAGCGGAGCGGAGAGAG